rfam:Candidatus Woesebacteria bacterium RIFCSPHIGHO2_01_FTLL_39_28 rifcsphigho2_01_scaffold_8038, whole genome shotgun sequence.
UUAUUUGAGGGUUUGAUCCUGGCCCAGGAUGAACGCUGGCGGCGUGCCUUAGGCAUGCAAGUGGAACGAAUUGGUAGCAAUACUAGUGAGUCGCGAACGGCUGAGUAAUAGAUAGGAAUCUACCCUUUGGUGAGGAAUACCUCCGCGAAAGCGGGGCUAAUACCGCAUAUGAUCUUGCAGCAAUGUUUGAUCAAAGCGCUUAACUGCGCGCCGAAGAAUGAGCCUAUUUCCCAUCAGCUUGUUGGUAGGGUAAUGGCCUACCAAGGCUACGACGGGUAGGGGACGUGAGAGCGUGACCCCCCAGAAUGGAACUGAGACACGGUCCAUACACCUACGGGUGGCAGCAACCGGGAAUUGUGCGCAAUGGGCGAAAGCCUGACGCCGCGACGCCGCGUGAGGGAUGAAGGCCUUCGGGUUGUAAACCUCUUUUGAUCCCGCCGACAGGCGGGAUAGAAUAAGCACCCGCUAACCACGUGCCAGCAGCUGCGGUAAUACGUGGGGUGCAAGCGUUAUCCGGAUUUAUUGGGCGUAAAGCGUUUCGUAGGCGAUCCAGAAAGUUACACUUUAAAGACCAGAGCUUAACUUUGGAAAGGGGUGUAAUACUGCUGGAAUUGAAGUACUUCGGGGCUACUGGAACUAUCGAUGUAGGGGUGAAAUCCGUUGAUAUCGAUAGGAACUCCAAGGGCGAAGGCAGGUAGCUAGGAGUUAUUUGACGCUGAGGAACGACAGCUAGGGGAGCGAAAGGGAUUAGAGACCCCUGUAGUCCUAGCCGUAAACUAUGCUCGCUAGGGACGGGUUCGUAAGGAUCCAUCCCGUAAGCUAACGCGUUAAGCGAGCCGCCUGGGGAGUACGAUCGCAAGAUUAAAACUCAAAGGAAUUGACGGGGACCUGCACAACCAGUGGAGCAUGUGGUUUAAUUCGACUCAAACCGAAGAACCUUACCCGGGCUUGACAUCCCACCGUAUAGUUUUUUAGAAAUAAGAAACAAUCUUUAAGAAAUUAACGAAGGUGGGACAGGUGUUGCAUGGCUGUCGUCAGCUCGUGCCGUGGGGUGUUCCCUUCAGUGGGGUAACGAGCGCAACCCCUGUCCCGUGUUGAAUGAUCACGGGAGACUCCCCCGCAUUUUGCGGGGGGGAAGUGGGGACGACGUCAAGUCAGCAUGGCCCUUAUGUCCGGGGCAACACACAUACUACAAUGGAGCCGACAAUGGGUUGCCAAGUAGCAAUACGGAGCUAAUCCCAUCAAACGGCUUCUCAGUGGGGAUAGCCGCCUGCAAUUCGGCGGCUUGAACGCGGAAUUGGUAGUAAUCGCGGAUCAGCUAAGCCGCGGUGAAUACGUUCUCAGGUCUUGUACACACCGCCUUUAGAAUAUUUUAGGAACAACGCGCCUUGCAGUUAUAUUCUCU